rnacentral:rRNA from 1 species
UCCUAGUGGCAUAAAUACCUAAAGGCACCAAAUGCCAUCUGAACAUGGAAGAUAAGCAGGAUCAAGUUUGGAUAGUACCUGGAUGGGGGAUCACCAAAGAAUACCAGGAACUGUAGAGU